UGCAAGUCGAACGAGGUCCAUGGUAGCUUGCUCCAGAAGACCUAGUGGCGAACGGGUGCGUAACACGUGAGAAACCUGCCCCGAUCUCUGGGAUAACAGUUGGAAACGACUGCUAAUACCGGAUGCCGUCACACCGCUUCAUGGCGGAGUGACGAAAGAUUUAUCGGAUUGGGAGGGUCUCGCGGCCUAUCAGCUAGUUGGAGAGGUAACGGCUCACCAAGGCAUCGACGGGUAGCUGGUCUGAGAGGAUGAUCAGCCACACUGGGACUGAGACACGGCCCAGACUCCUACGGGAGGCAGCAGUGGGGAAUCUUGCACAAUGGGCGAAAGCCUGAUGCAGCAACGCCGCGUGCGGGAUGAAGGCCCUAGGGUUGUAAACCGCUUUCAGUAGGGAAGAAAAUGACGGUACCUACAGAAGAAGGUGCGGCCAACUACGUGCCAGCAGCCGCGGUGACACGUAGGCACCAAGCGUUAUCCGGAUUUAUUGGGCGUAAAGAGCUCGUAGGCGGUUCGGUAAGUCGGGUGUAAAAACUCUGGGCUCAACCCAGAGAGGCCAUCCGAUACUGCUGUGACUAGAGUGCGGUA
rnacentral:rRNA from 1 species